rnacentral:rRNA from 1 species
CCUACGGGAGGCAGCAGUGAGGAAUAUUGGUCAAUGGACGAGAGUCUGAACCAGCCAAGUAGCGUGAAGGAUGACUGCCCUAUGGGUUGUAAACUUCUUUUAUAUGGGAAUAAAGUGUUCCACGUGUGGGUUUUUGUAUGUACCAUAUGAAUAAGGAUCGGCUAACUCCGUGCCAGCAGCCGCGGUAAUACGGAGGAUCCGAGCGUUAUCCGGAUUUAUUGGGUUUAAAGGGAGCGUAGGUGGAUUGUUAAGUCAGUUGUGAAAGUUUGCGGCUCAACCGUAAAAUUGCAGUUGAUACUGGCAGUCUUGAGUACAGUAGAGGUGGGCGGAAUUCGUGGUGUAGCGGUGAAAUGCUUAGAUAUCACGAAGAACUCCGAUUGCGAAGGCAGCUCACUAGACUGCAACUGACACUGAUGCUCGAAAGUGUGGGUAUCAAACAGGAUUAGAUACCCCAGUAGUC